CAACAAUCAAAACAGCGCCGUUUUGAUUCCAGAGAAAACAAAAACCCAAUGCUGACUUAUCCCCUUUCUUUCUCUAACAAACACACCCUCACCAACCCAGGAUUCUCCUAAACGGCGAAACCCUAUUAGAGCCACCAUCACCAUCUCCCCUUUCAUUCUGCUCUUCUCCUCGCGUCGCCAGAAGCUAAGGUCGGUUCGGGGCUGUUGUUGGCGUCGCCGUUUCUCUGUCCGAGCUCUCUGUCGCUCCUUCUUUGCUCUUCACCGUUGGUCGUUGCCGCUUCUCCACUCCUCGCCGUGGGUCGUCACUGCUUCUCCCCUCCUUGCCGUGUCGUUUCUUCUUCUCACCUCCUCGUCGUUUUUGGAUGUGGCCCCUUCUCGUCUCCCCGCCAUUCUUGUCGUCGCUUCUCUGUUUCACGUUACCAAAAUUCCCAAUUUGAAUUUCUCUAUCUCGCUGGCUCUAUGCUGUCUUUUCCUCUCCUUCAUUAAAUCCAGAUAACGUAAAACAUCCCCUUUAUCCUCUUCAGUCUUCAAUAAUGUUCAAUUUGUUGUAAUUGUAUUACAUUGUUUUCUUCUUUAUUUUGUUCUGAAUAUACGUAUGAUAAAUUAUUGAUGAUUCUGCUGAGUUUUGAGAUAUGUUUUAUUUGAAUUCAGUCAGUUGAUGUUGAAUUAAUUCUGCCAAGAUUGAGUUAUAAAUUUACUUUUUUUUAGUUUAAUUUAUUAAUUAUGCUGAGAUUAUAUUUGCUGAGAUUGAUAUUGAAUUAAUUCUACUGAGAUUGGGUUAUAAAUCCAAUCUGUUUUUCUUGUUAUUUUGGUAAAUUGUUAUUUUGCUGUCAUUGAUUCAAAAGAGAAACAUUGCUACAAUUCUGCAUUGGAUUUACUCUAUGGCUUUAAAAUAAGGGUUGGAUGAAGUUCAGACAAGGAGAUAGUUUAUUCAUAGGAAAAGAGAAUGAAGUUAAGAAGUAAAGAACAAAAAGAUUACCUAAUUUAUGAAAAUGGAAAAUUCAGGAAUGGAAACCUAAUUUAUAAAGGUUAUUCAUGCUUUUAUAUUGUGUUUUUUUUGUUUAGUUAAUUUAAUUGUCAGUUUUUGUGCAUUCUGAGCUUCUUACUGUGUUGUGGAAUUGCUUCUUCUUGUUCAAAUUGAAGACUAUACUGACUUCUUUUUCUCCCUGCACCAUACUAAAAUUUGUGGCCUCAAAUUUAGGUAGCCUACAAUGGAUCAUUAUCUUCUAUUAUAUCUGGAACUGAUAUUGUUUGACCAAGCUUAGAAGUUGCUAAUGUGUUAUAUAUAUAUGAAGAUUGAGAAACUUAAAUGAAAGAACCAAGCUUCGACCAAUUUUAAUUCAUACAAUGCUUUAAUUGCUCUGCACCUUAUCUCACAAUAUAUGCCACUUUGAAUUUUUAAUAAUUUUAUGUUAUAUUUGACACUACCAGCCAUUGACUAAGGAGACCUACCCUGUGAUGAUGCAUUUGGGAUUUUCGAAACAGGUGCAAUUGCAAUAGGUGUAGGAGCAAUUGCUGCAUUUGAAACAAUAAUAAUUAGUUGGUGUACAAAUGCAUUGUAAAUUCAUUAAGUCUAUCACUAUUUUUUCUUUUUGGAAAAUUCUAUGGUGUGAAUUGAAUAAAAUGUCCACAGUACGGAUCAUGUGUGGUUUGCUUCCUUGGAUAGCAAUUCUUGUUUUGCUUGAUCAAUUUUCAUUUGGCCAACCCAAGCUGAAUUUUAUAUGCAAACUUUUCUGUUUCAUUUUUUUUGUUAAAUGAGAGGAAAUUGCAAGAGUUAUAAAGAGAAUGAUGGAGGAGAAUGAAGAAGGUUUGCAAAUGAGAAAGAGAAUCAAACAGUUGAGUGAUGCUGCACUCACUCAAAAUGGUUUAUCUCUACUAAGGCAUUCUCUACUCUUACACAUAAAUGGAAAAUUGUUUAGUGGCAUUUAUAAAGGAAUAAUGCAUGUAACUUGUCAAAACAACCCAAGUUUGUGAUCCUUUUUUUUUAAUAUCAAUAGCAUGCUUGAAAGCUUUUGAAUGUUAAUGCAGUUGCUUAUUCUAAUUUGAGGUUACUUAAUGACUAAUCUUCUUUGGUUUAUUUUUAGGGUACAGUGUGGUAUUAGCAGGAUUGCUUUCUACCUUAAAAUUAGUUAGGGGAACCUUAGCAGGAUUGCUUUCUACCUUAAAAUUAGUUAGGGGAACCUUAGCUGACGGCUGACCAUACCUUCUUAUUUUUGGGUGCUAGAGAGGAUCUCCACUAUGGUUGAGGGAGAAACUUCCCACUUAGAACUGAACCAAACAACUCCAGUGGUCAGAGUCUCGGUUACAUAGAUGAUCAUAAGCAAAGGAGAGUGGAAAGAAUCGGAUUUUUGGACGGUACCAUCAUGUAUUCAACUUUUCAAACAGAUUGUAAGGUGGUGCAAGUACCAAACAUGAACCAGAAAUUAAUAGACCACAUGUGCCAACGAUUUGAUCUGUCGUCAGGAAAAUUGUAUGUCAGGAUUCUUCCCACUAUAAAGCGUUUUAAAGACGCAGAUUAUACAUACUUCUGUUAUAAGAAAACUUUUUCAGUUUACAUGAGGCUGGGCAAAAAAAUUUUGUGGCACUCAAGAAGGCUUGCCGUGGAUUUAUUACAGGACUGGUGAAUCUUCACCAGUCAGGUAAGGUCCACGGUAAUAUUACUCGUUACGAUUUAGUAACGAGUAAUGGCGAUGGGUAUCUAGGAGGAGGAAACUUAUAUUACAGAUAGAUGGGGAGUUCCAAGGUUGGUUACUGAUCCUUUCAAGAAGGAUAUGUUUGACCUUGCAAAAGCGCUCGAGAAUUGUUUCAAAGACAGAGAUCUUCUCAACUAUCCUGAUGAUAAUCUUGGAAUGUUCAUCAAUUAUUUGAAGAACAACAAUAUACUGAACCCAAUAACAUUCCAUCCGUAUGUUUUAGUUUCAAUGGAAGUCCGUAGUCUUUAUGUUAUAGUUGAAGAAGAUUUUAGACAAAUGUGCCCUGUCACUUUGAACGCGAGAUUCAAGACCCUUAGAUGCGUUAGGAAUUAUCGAACAAAUGGCUGGCAUAGUGUUGUAAUGAGCUCGGGCGACCCAAUUCUGCUUACAGUUUUUAUGCGUCCAAAUUCAAAUUAUCGAGAUGAUGAUAGGAAUUUAGUUAGGUUUUUUAGAAACAUUUGGGUGCACGCAGUAAAGGAUGCUAAGAUCUCGUGUAUGAGAUAGCACAUACCAAGCAAGGGAGAAAAAUACUUUAGGUAAUUUGUAGGGAUGAUUGUUUAUAUAUAAUUAUGUUUAUGAACUUGUGGUUUAAGUUUAUUCUUUUGUUUCUAUAUGUUCUGAGAUCAAAUGAACUGUGGUUGAAUAUAAUGUGCUUGAAUAUAAUACUCUGUAG